rnacentral:rRNA from 1 species
UACGGAGGGAGCUAGCGUUGUUCGGAAUUACUGGGCGUAAAGCGCACGUAGGCGGCUUUGUAAGUCAGAGGUGAAAGCCUGGAGCUCAACUCCAGCACUGCCUUUGAGACUGCAUCGCUUGAAUCCAGGAGAGGUGAGUGGAAUUCCGAGUGUAGAGGUGAAAUUCGUAGAUAUUCGGAAGAACACCAGUGGCGAAGGCGGCUCACUGGACUGGUAUUGACGCUGAGGUGCGAAAGCGUGGGGAGCAAACAGG